rnacentral:misc_RNA from 1 species
GAUGAAGAACGCAGCGAAAUGCGAUAAGUAAUGUGAAUUGCAGAAUUCAGUGAAUCAUCGAAUCUUUGAACGCACAUUGCGCCCCCCAGUAUUCUGGCGGGCAUGCCUGUUCGAGCGUCAUUUCAACCAUCAAGCCCUGUUUGUGUUGGGGUCCUGCGGCUGCCCGCAGGCCCUGAAAACCAGUGGCGGGCUCGCUAGUCACACCGAGCGCAGUAGCACAUCUCGCUCAGGGCGUGCGGCGGGCUCCAGCCGUUAAAGCACCCACCUUUCGCAAGGUUGACCUCGGAUCAGGUAGGAAUACCCGCUGAACUUAAGCAUAUCAAUAAGCGGAGGA